rnacentral:lncRNA from 1 species
UUAUCACAGACAAAAUUAGGUCAGAAGAGAGCACAGAGGUACUGAACUGAAAAGAAAUAAAUUCAUCUUUAGAAGAAAAAAGGAAGUCUCAAACUGCAAACUUGGGUUUAAUUUGUCUCCUCCAUGUAAGGCCUCAAAUCAAACUGCUGCCACCUGCUCCUUGCCUCAUUGUCUGCCCUGCCUGUGUUACUGCUGUCAAGGGUCACCAAGUUGACCAGAGGGAUGCAGCACCUCUCCUAUGCAGAAAUGACUUCAUCAACAACUUUGCAAAGUUUGAUGGCAAACAUAUCAAGUUUCCUCAGAAAAUGUGA